AGAGUUUGAUCCUGGCUCAGAAUGAACGCUGGCGGCAGGCCUAACACAUGCAAGUCGAACGGGUGCCUUCGGGUGCUAGUGGCGGACGGGUGAGUAACGCGUGGGAACAUACCCUUUGGUACGGAAUAGCCUCGGGAAACUGAGAGUAAUACCGUAUGUGCCCUUCGGGGGAAAGAUUUAUCGCCAAAGGAUUGGCCCGCGUUGGAUUAGGUAGUUGGUGGGGUAAUGGCCUACCAAGCCGACGAUCCAUAGCUGGUUUGAGAGGAUGAUCAGCCACACUGGGACUGAGACACGGCCCAGACUCCUACGGGAGGCAGCAGUGGGGAAUCUUAGACAAUGGGGGAAACCCUGAUCUAGCCAUGCCGCGUGAUCGAUGAAGGCCUUAGGGUUGUAAAGAUCUUUCAGAUGGGAAGAUAAUGACGGUACCAUCAGAAGGAGCCCCGGCUAACUCCGUGCCAGCAGCCGCGGUAAUA
rnacentral:rRNA from 1 species